CACAUGAGAGCGCAGAAGAAGAGCUCGACUCGGAAUCGCAUUAGGCGGAAGUGGGUUUUUUUCUCGCUCCUCGUGUCGCUCCUCCUUUCCGCUUGCUCGAGUGCGCCAUUCACACACACGCUGCGAAGAUGGCUGAAGAUUGGGAGGCUGUACCAGCUGUCGCUGAAUCACCA